rnacentral:rRNA from 1 species
UACAGAGGGUGCGAGCGUUGUUCGGAUUUACUGGGCGUAAAGGGCGCGUAGGCGGCCACCGCAAGUCAAUUGUGAAAUCUCCGGGCUUAACUCGGAAAGGUCAACUGAUACUGCGGGGCUAGAGUGCGGAAGGGGCAACUGGAAUUCUCGGUGUAGCGGUGAAAUGCGUAGAUAUCGAGAGGAACACCUGCGGCGAAGGCGGGUUGCUGGGCCGACACUGACGCUGAUGCGCGAAAGCCAGGGGAGCGAACGGG